rnacentral:lncRNA from 1 species
CAGCCCGGCCCGGCCCAGCCCAGCCCAGCCCAGGUCCUGGAUGCCUCCUAAAGCAGGGUGUGCUUGUGGGUUGGAGCCUGUGGAUUUGGGGAAGCGAUGUUGGACAGGAGGGCAGAGGGCAGAGGACCUUCAGGGCCACGCAGCUGUGGAAGGUGUGAGUCUGUGGAAGGCGGGACUCGGGUGUUGAGUCGAUUCAACCAGCCCCUCCCCAUGGUGGAGCCAGGGGGGGUGGGGGUCAAGACCAGUGGAGGGACGUGCCACAGAUGGUAUCUUCGCGGGUCGCAGACCACCCAAACCGGCACGAGACCUCCAGGGUGUGGAGCCAGCUUGGGCUGCAGAGGCCUCCCCCCCCCGCCCCCACCCCUACCUUGUGACCUAACGCAGGUAGUGGUUUGAAAUCAGCUGCGUUUGCAUCACGGAAGUUAGCGAAUGCUGCAGUUCAGCCCUGGCCCUUCGGAGUAUCCGCUGUUGAGCGUUUACCAGAACACCACCGAGUUCGCUGAUUUACUAGACGUGACGGUAGAUUCGGUUCUGCCUCACCCCUCUGGCGCUGCAGUCCUGUGGUGUGUGUGGGGGUGGGGGGGGCGGACAGUGUGGGGCGGGACGGGGCUGCCCACCCAGCUGGCACGUCCGGGGGCUCUCAGGACACGUCCCUGCCUCUGGUGUGAGGUAGGCGUGGGCUGAAGCUAAGCGUGCAGGUUCAUUGGCUCGUUUGUGCCCCGACUCUCCCCAGGGAGCACGGCUGGUGGGGCCCAUGGUGACUGGACAAUCUCUGUCCACAGGAACUCCUAGUUAACAGGAGAGAGAUACACAAGAAAGAAAAAAGAAUGAACAAAAAGACAGUGCGUUUAGCGCAACCUGCUGGGGCAGGGGAGGGGCCUUGUCUGAAUUUCCAGGGCCUUCUCCUGGGACCGUGGGCAUUCCCGCCAUCUUGCCUUCAAGGCUCCCCGACUUACACUUUCUGAGGGAGUCCCGUUCCUGGCCACCAAGCCUCUCCCGACCCUGGCUCGCUGGCCGGCUGCACUGUCCCCUGCUGCUUGGUGGGCCUGGGGACACUCGGGCCUAGAAGGAAGUCUGGCUGCCCUGGGCCACCUCCUUGGGGCCGC